AUGUCCAGGGACUUGGACUGUCCUGUUCAGACACAGAUGGCUGUUGCAGUCCUGGAUCGGAGUUUCAGCAGUGAAUAUCCUGCAAGUAGCAAAACUGAGGGGAGACCAUUGAGCUGGAAGAGAGUUUUUGUUCAAACUGAUAAUGGUUCUGUCCUGGGCAUUGAACUGGAGAGGGGAGAAAAUGCACAAUCUGUGAAAAAAAAACUGCAGAUAGCUUUGAAUGUUUCCACAGAGGAGAGCUCACUGACCUUUGGUGAUCUUGUUCUGAACAAUGAUCUCAGCAAUGUCCGCAAUGACUCGCCGUUGCUCCUCACAAGGAAUCAGAUGCACCGGAGCAGCUCAACACCUUGUCUCUCUCCUAAUGGAAGCGGCGUGCAACAGCGAGACCGUAGUGGACCCAUUGCUAUCCUUGGAUGUUCAAGCCCUUCCCCUGAGAUGAAACAGCUUGCUAAGGAUAUUGUCAAAGCCAUAAGGAAUGAUGUUGACCCAGUAGCUGUUAACAGUGGGAUGGGUGGUGCCUACUACUUCGAUAACAUUUGGGGUGAACAUGUUGCAAUUGUAAAGCCAACCGACGAGGAACCAUUUGCUCCAAAUAAUCCUAAAGGCUUUGUAGGGAAGACCCUUGGACAGCCAGGUCUCAAAAGGUCUGUACGAGUUGGUGAGACAGGGUUCAGAGAGGUUGCUGCUUACCUCCUUGACCAUGGCAACUUUGCAAAAGUUCCUCCAACCAUGCUGGUCAAGAUCACACACACUGUGUUCAAUGUGAAUGCCACUGUUGGCUGCAAUCAUAAGGUGUUCCACAACAAUUCACAGCCUGUGAGCAAGAUUGCAUCAUUGCAGCAGUUCAUCCCUCAUGAUUUUGAUGCCAGCGACCAUGGGACAUCAAGCUUCCCUGUAUCUGCUGUGCACAGGAUCGGCAUUCUUGACAUCAGAAUCUUCAACACGGACAGGCAUUCGGGCAAUCUUCUGGUCAGGAAAGUUGGUCCUGGGUCUGACAACUUUGGAGUGCAGACCGAACUCAUUCCUAUCGACCAUGGUCUUUGUCUGCCCGAAUGUCUAGAGGACCCUUACUUUGAAUGGAUUCACUGGCCGCAAGCAUCCAUCCCUUUCUCUGAGGAGGAACUUGAAUACAUUGCAAAUUUGGAUCCUGUAAAAGAUGUUGACAUGCUGCGCAUGGAGCUUCCCAUGAUCCGCAAGGCAUGUCUGCGGGUGCUGGUGCUGUCAACAAUAUUUCUCAAGGAAGGUGCAGCAUUUGGCCUCUGCUUGUCCGAAAUAGGAGAGAUGAUGAGCAGGCAGUUUACUGGGAAAGAAGAAGAGCCAAGUGAGCUUGAGCUUCUUUGCAUGGAGGCAAGGAAGUGGGUCGAGGACAGAGAGCUAUUUCUUCCAGAAGCCGGAGUUGAAGACGACGAUGAUGACUUCACCCAGUUCUCUCUUGACGGCGAGGAUGAUUCAGAUGCAUUUGAAUCACCCUCAUUCAGCAGGUUUGGUCCCAUGAAGGCAAGCCACAGGAAUCCACUGUCAAAGCUAGCCGAGUGUGACGAGGAGGAGGAUGAUGACAAGGAGAUGGUCAAGGAUGACUCUGACCCCUUGAACGCUAAACCCUACCGCGGAGGCAUUCCGAAGACGAAGAGCAAGGUGGCUGCUAAAACUAACUAUAGUGGCGAAGGUAGUAUGUAUCAGUCUGGAAGCAGGAGCGCGAACGAGAUGCUCCCUCCCAGCGCCAGUUUUGUGAAGCUGUCGGACAUGGGCUCCGAGGAGUGGACCGCGUUCCUCGACAAGUUCCAGGAGCUCCUCCCGAGCGCCUUCCGAGCACGGAAGCACGCGGCUGGCUCCGGCCCGCGCCCACUGCAGAGGCUGGGAACUUCUUGCCAGUUUUGA
rnacentral:rRNA from 1 species